rnacentral:rRNA from 1 species
CAAAUUACCUCCGUAACUUCGGGAUAAGGAGGCCAUCCGCUUGGGCAACCAGGUGGGUGGGGCACAGACCAGGGGGUGGCGACUGUUUAGCAAAAACACAGGGCUAUGCUAAGUCCAACGACGACGUAUAUGGCCUGACGCCUGCCCGGUGCUGGAAGGUUAAGAGGAGAGGUGCAAGCCUUGAAUCGAAGCCCCAGUAAACGGCGGCCGUAACUAUAACGGUCCUAAGGUAGCGAAAU